UUAAUAUUUCCUCUGUCCGGAAGUACUUGUGGGGCAAUGGAUUUAUCUAGAGGUGUUUUAGUUUUAGAUACAUCCAUUUUUAUCCAUUUCUUCGACAAGUAUUUCCAGACAGAGGGAGGAGACA
rnacentral:pre_miRNA from 1 species